rnacentral:rRNA from 1 species
CCUACGGGGGGCAGCAGUGAGGAAUAUUGGUCAAUGGCCGCAGGGCUGAACCAGUCAAGUCGCGUGAGGGAUGACGGUCCUAUGGAUUGUAAACCUCUUUUGUCAGGGAGCAAAGGGCGCCACGUGUGGCGCUUUGCGAGUACCUGAAGAAAAAGCAUCGGCUAACUCUGUGCCAGCAGCCGCGGUAAUACGGAGGAUGCGAGCGUUAUCCGGAUUUAUUGGGUUUAAAGGGUGCGCAGGCGGAAUGUCAAGUCAGCGGUAAAAUUUCGGGGCUCAACCCCGUCGUGCCGUUGAAACUGGCGUUCUUGAGUGAGCGAGAAGUAUGCGGAAUGCGUGGUGUAGCGGUGAAAUGCAUAGAUAUCACGCAGAACUCCGAUUGCGAAGGCAGCAUACCGGCGCUCAACUGACGCUCAUGCACGAAAGCGUGGGUAUCGAACAGGAUUAGAUACCCCAGUAGUC